UAAUAGGUUCAGCAAAACUGAAAAGUCUUAAAUGCUUUAUUUUCUUUCUCUGUCGGUGUCUCUCAGUCAACUCUUCUUCCUCGAUGUUCAUCAUGAUUCAAGUUUGUUUGGAAGAUCCUUAUUUGAAAUCCAGACCAAAAGAGGAGAUUUUGUGUUUAUCAAAACAAUUCACUCUAUUCUAAGAGCCAAAUCGAUAUACUCGAAAUAAAGUCAUGUUCAUAUGCCUAUCUUCUCUAAUUGUAGAUCGACCAUCACCUGAGGAUAUUUCAAUGGCUUUGGUUGAAAAUUACUUUUUGUAGACAUGCGAAUGGUAAGGAGAUUCCCUUCAAACCUGCUCGGCAGAUUCUACAGGGCUCAACUGGUGUCCCUGCAGUUGUGUAAAUAGUUUGCAUGAGAGUAGCCACGGAUAAUGGCAAUGUUGAUUCUACUGCGUUCAAUCCCCUGGUUAGUGAACUUCAAGCUAUUCAUACUGAGAUUGAUUGAUAUUAUAUUUGUUUUAAACUGGGGAUAUGUUUUGUUUCAUGUAUGUAAACUACUGAUCCCGCUGUCAUGGAGAAUUUCAAUAUUCAUGGAUUCAACUAUGGUCAAAAGCAAGAAAUAUAUUUAACCAUCAAAUGCUGUGAACAGAGGUAGAUGAUAUUUUAUAGUCCAGUAUAUGGCUGUGAUGAAACAUAGUGCAUGCGUAAAUGGAGUAAUACGUAUGGCAAAUUGGAGAGAAGAGUACUCAGGUAUUACGUACUACUAUGUUAGUUUUAAUAUAAGGUAGUUUGAUAUAAAAGGGCCAGCGAUUAAUUGUAUAAGAUUGGAUGGUAAUGUCAUUUGAUGUAAAUACUCUAGUGAAUAAAGGGUGGUUAAUUAUGUAAGCUGAGAAGGACUAUGAGACUGCCACCUCAGCAUGGCAUGCUUGUAAAUAAUUUAUAUUUCAAAGGUUAUUUUUUCAAA